GACGAACGCUGGCGGCGUGCUUAACACAUGCAAGUCGAACGGGUCUGCCCUGUUUUUUGCGGGGUGGGUCAGUGGCGAACGGGUGAGUAACACGUGAGUAACCUGCCCCUCACUUCUGGAUAACCGCUUGAAAGGGUGGCUAAUACGGGGUGUUCUGGCUGUGCCGCAUGGUGUGGCUGGGAAAGAUUCACUUUUGUGGUGUUUUGGUGGGGGAUGGGCUCGCGGCCUAUCAGCUUGUUGGUGGGGUGAUGGCCUGCCAAGGCUUUGACGGGUAGCCGGCCUGAGAGGGUGGGCGGUCACACUGGGACUGAGAUACGGCCCAGACUCCUGCGGGAGGCAGCAGUGGGGGGUAUUGCACAAUGGGCGGAAGCCUGUUGCAGCGACGUCGCGUGAGGGAUGGAGGCCUUCGGGUUGUGAACCUCUUUCGCCGGUGAAGAAGGUCCUGCUCUUUGUGGUGGGGUUGACGGUAGCCGGGUUAUGAAGCGCCGGCUAACUACGUG
rnacentral:rRNA from 1 species